rnacentral:rRNA from 1 species
UUCGAGCGAGAAAGGGCUUCGGCCCCAGUAAAGCGGCGCACGGGUGAGUAACACGUAGGUGAUCUCCCCUAGAGUGGUGGAUAACCCUCCGAAAGGAGGGCUAAUACAGCAUGAGACCACGAUCCCGCUGGGAUUGCGGUCAAAGCAGGCCUCUUCAUGAAAGCUUGCGCUCUGGGAUGAGCCUGCGGCCCAUCAGCUAGUUGGUAAGGUAACGGCUUACCAAGGCUAAGACGGGUAGCUGGUCUGUGAGGAUGAGCAGCCACACUGGAACUGAAACACGGUCCAGACUCCUACGGGAGGCAGCAGUAGGGAAUCUUGCGCAAUGGGCGAAAGCCUGACGCAGCGACGCCGCGUGAGCGAUGAAGGCCUUCGGGUUGUAAAGCUCUGUGGGGAGAGACGAAUAAGGCAUGGCUAACAUCCAUGUCGAUGACGGUAUCUCCUUAGCAAGCACCGGCUAACUCUGUGCCAGCAGCCGCGGUAAGACAGAGGGUGCGAACGUUGUUCGGAAUUACUGGGCGUAAAGCGCGUGUAGGCGGCAACGCAAGUCGGGCGUGAAAUCCCACGGCUCAACCGUGGAAGUGCACUCGAAACUGCGUAGCUAGAGUCCUGGAGAGGAAGGUGGAAUGCUUGGUGUAGAGGUGAAAUUCGUAGAUAUCAAGCGGAACACCGGUGGCGAAGGCGGCCUUCUGGACAGUGACUGACGCUGAGACGCGAAAGCGUGGGGAGCAAACAGGAUUAGAUACCCUGGUAGUCCACGCCGUAAACGAUGAGUGCUAGGUGUCACGGGCUUUUGACCCCUCGUGGUGCCGAAGCUAACGCGUUAAGCA